UACCUGGUUGAUCCUGCCAGUAGUCUAUAUGCUUGUCUCAAAGGUUAAGCCAUGCACGCCUAAGUUCGUCCCCUUAGUACGGUCAAACCGCGAAUGGCUCAUUAGAUCAGUCCCGGUUCCUUUGGCACGCGACCGCCCCAGGUCACAUACGGAUAACUGUGGCAAAUCCAGAGCUAAUACGUGUAUUGUACUCGCCUGGUCUCGUCACGUUUCACGACGGACGGGACCGGGCGCACUUAUUCGAACGAGGCCGGUGUCCACGGCGUGUUUGCGCACGUCUGGACUGUAACGUAAUUGAGCUCUAGGUAAUUGUCACGACCGCGACGUCCCUUGUGGACGGCGGCUAGCUGAACAAACGUCUGACCUAUCAAAUGUCGACGGUAAGGGCACACGCCAACCGUGUUAACGACGGGUGACGGGGAAUCAGGGUUCUAUUCCGGAGAGGGAGCACGAGAAACGGCUACCAAUUCUAAGGAGGGCAGCAGGCGCGCAACUUACCCAAUACCAGCUCGGUGAGGUAGUAACGAGAUAUAAUGAUGCGGGGCUCGAGUCGGGCCGCGCGGUCGGAAUGAGCCCAGUGUAAAAUCCUGAGGCGACGUUCCAUCGGAGGGCAAGCCUGGUGCCAGCAGCCGCGGUAAUUCCAGCUCCGAUAGCGUAUACUAAUCCUGCUGCAGUUAAAAAGCUCGUAGUUGGAUCUCGGCGGUGCGUGUUUCCCGUCUACGGUGUCGUGUUACAAGCCCGCGCUCGUCGCGGGUCACUUCGUCCGUAGCGGCGCCCACCGCCACCUCUGGUCUGCUCUCUCCCGGGCUCGGCCUUCACUGGUCGGGACCGGGUGGCAGACAGUUCACUUUGAAAAAAUUAGAGUGUUCAAAGCGGGCGCCAGUCGCUCGAAUAAUGGUGCAUGGAAUGAUGGAUAGGACCCCCGUCUUAUUUCUGCCGGUCUCAGGGACGGAGGUAAUGAUUGGAAGAGGCAGCCGGGGGCAUGCGUAUUGCGGCGGGAGAAGUGAAAUUUGAUGAUCGUCGCAAGACGUCCGAGAGCGAAAGCACUUGUCAAGAGUGUCUUUUUUAGAUCAAGAACGAAAGUCGGAGGCUCGAAGACGAUCAGAUACCGUCGUAGUUCCGACCAUAAACGUUGCCAACCGGCGAUCUGCGUUGGUCUCGAUUUUGGGACCAGGCGGGACACCCCGGGGAAACCAGAGUUUUGAGGUUCCGGGGGGAGUAUGGUUGCAAAACUGAAACUUAAAGGAAUUGACGGAAGGGCACCACCAGGAGUGGGGUCUGCCGGCUUAAUUUGACUCAACACGGGAAAACUCACCCGGUCCGGACACCGCAAGGAUUGACAGACUGAGGCUCAUUCUACGAUUCGGUGGGUGAUGGUGCAUGGCCGUUCUUAGUUGGUGGAGCGAUCUGUCUGGUUAAUUCCGAUAACGAACGAGACUCUACCCUGCUUGUUAGCGUGUCUUCGUACGGCUAACUCUGCGUCCGUGGCAGGUUACGGGUGGCCUCACUCCCCCUCUCCUCACGGUGGGGGCGAGCUGUCGGUCGUCAGUCCGCUCGGCGCGAAUUCACCCGAAUUCAUAACCCAAAUGGCUUCUUAGAGAGGACGGGCGGUGGCCAGCCGCACGAGAAAGAGUGAUAACAGGUCUGUGAUGCCCUUAGACGUCCGGGGCCGCACGCGUGCUACACUGGGGGGACCAGCGCGAUCUCGUCCUGACCCGACCGGUCUCGGGAAAGCUGCUGAGUUUCCCCCGUGCUCGGGACCGGGGCUUGUCCAUUGUGCCCCGCGAACGAGGAAUUCCCCGUAGGCACGGGUCAUAACCCCGUGCCGAUUACGUCCCUGCCCUUUGUACACACCGCCCGUCGCUACCAUCGGUGAACGGUCUAGCGAGGGCCUCGGACUGGCAAUUCGCUGCCGGGAAGACGCCCGAACUAGUUCGCUUGGAGAUAGUAAAAGUCGUAACAAGGUUUCCGUAGGUGAACUGCGGAAGGAUCAUUA
rnacentral:rRNA from 12 species